GACGAACGCUGGCGGCGUGCUUAACACAUGCAAGUCGAACGGAAAGGCCCUGCUUUUGUGGGGUGCUCGAGUGGCGAACGGGUGAGUAACACGUGAGUAACCUGCCCUUGACUUUGGGAUAACUUCAGGAAACUGGGGCUAAUACCGGAUAGGAUCUCCUGCUGCAUGGUGGGGGUUGGAAAGUUUCGGCGGUUGGGGAUGGACUCGCGGCUUAUCAGCUUGUUGGUGGGGUAGUGGCUUACCAAGGCUUUGACGGGUAGCCGGCCUGAGAGGGUGACCGGCCACAUUGGGACUGAGAUACGGCCCAGACUCCUACGGGAGGCAGCAGUGGGGAAUAUUGCACAAUGGGCGGAAGCCGGAUGCAGCAACGCCGCGUGCGGGAUGACGGCCUUCGGGUUGUAAACCGCUUUCGCCUGUGACGAAGCGUGAGUGACGGUAAUGGGUAAAGAAGCACCGGCUAACUACGUG
rnacentral:rRNA from 1 species